AUAAAAAGGGAAAAGCUUAUAUUCUGACAUCAGGAGCAAUAUUGGACGACUUAGGACUCCUACAUUUCGCCCAUGACUGACUUGCAUCAAAGACAGACUGAUGGGGAUGCUGUUGUGGCAAGAGGAGAGGACAGGCUUGCCCAAAGGAUGAGGAACUGUGGAGCAGUUCUCAAGGAAACCCCAGUGACCAGACCGAUUCAGCAGAGCUUUUUCUUCAUCUAUGGACUCAAAAUUCUGUGCGACUCUCCAUUGUGACAGCUUUGCACAAAUGGGAAUCCAUAGCAAAUGUGCUGAGCAUAACCUGCAACGAAGUGAAGCCCAAACCAAACAAGUAAACAAAACAAACAAACAAGAAACCCACAUACUUUUCAGCAAUGGUGAGAAAAUCUUUACCUUAUUCUCUCAGUGUUUGUUUUACUCACAUUAGAAAGGAGCAUUAGGGGAACUUUCCAAAUUGUCUUGUGCAUAAAAUACACCCAAACUUCAUGGGCUGUGCAUGCAGCCGUACAAGUGGAGGCUGUGCUGGUGGGGGGGAGGGAGUCCUGGCUCUGGGUAGUGGUUCUGGGUCAAAACUGUGGAGAGGGCCCUAGAAAUUAAUAUAGCUCAUCGUGUUCGUAAUGGUUACAGCAUGUGUUAGAAGUGUCACCAGUAUUUGGUGGCUCAGUUUGCCCCAUGAAAUUGUGGCUGGGGCUGCUUUGCAUCCACCUGCUGAUUACUCUGCUCUUCCCCUUUCCCUGUUAGGAGAGAAAAAGAUUCAAUUCACGUUAAUUAAAAGCUAAUUGAUGACAAGAUGACAAUACUAACAUAGUAGCUCAUGGUCCUGAGUAACAAGCUGCUAAAUAUCACCACUCCAAUUUAAAAGGACAGCAUCAAUGUUUGCCUGAUAACUAGAGUAGCAUUCUUGCUAAUUGUGGGAAAUGACUCAAAGGCCUGGCUUCGUUGUUACAGGAUGAUGGGAUGAAUCCCUGCAGCACCCAGCAGGUGCAACCCAGCCUGUUGUGCUCCCCCAGGCCCCACAACAGGGGGUUGCUGUGGCACUGUGCACACCUGGCUGUGCAGAUGAAGCCAAAUCCCUGCAAGGACAAGAGAUGCUGUGCAUGGGGCUGGGGCCUGGCUGGCUCCGUGGGGCAAGGAGUGCAGCUGGCAGGGAGCUGCUGGGAGCAGCUGCCCGCCCCAGAAGCAGCCUGUCCUGAACACACCGUGGUAGCCAGCCACAUUUGUAGGCUCUGGCACAGGCUCUGGAAGCACAUCCAGGCUGCUUUGCUGGCCUGAGCAUGCAGCCCUGCCCCUGGUUAGGGACAGGCAAGGCAGCAGUGCCCGUGUUCUGUCAGAACAGCUUUGCUUGAGCUCUCUCAAGCCCUCAAGGGGAGGAAGCCUGGCUGCCAGCCAGGGAUGGGACGCCAAACCGCUGUGCUGCUGGUGGCCUCACAGCCCUCCUGCCUCCACCACCAGCUCUGGGAUCAGCACGUGUGUGCUGCAGGAGUAGGACACCCAGCCCCCACAUCACUGCCUUGAGGCAGAGAUCUGUUACCUGAAGGUAGCAGCUCUGAAGGGCUGAGAUUAAUUAAAGGAUUAAUUGAAAUCCAUCCUUUAAUUAUUGUUAUUAAUUUAUUUUACUAGUUUUUGCUGUAAAUCUCUGCUCUUGUGGAAAAGUCUCCAUGAGUGGUAGUGCUUCCAGCAAUUGGGAACUGGAAUUAUGGAGCAGAGAAGGCAAAAUACAAUCCAGGGAGGAACCCAGGGAGUCAGUUUGGAUCAUAAAACUGCCAAGCCAUCAUGGAAUCACAGAAUGGUUUGGGUGGGAAGGGACCUUUAAAGAUCAUUGAAAUCAACCCCCUGCCAUGGGCAGGGACAUCUUCCAUGAGAGCAGGCUGCCAAGGGCUCCCUCCAGACUGGCCCUGAGCACUGCUCAAGAUGGGGCAUUGACAGCCUCCCUGGGCAACAUGUUGAGCCAUCCAAGGAAGCAGAGAGGAAGAAACAUAAGGGAAGGUGCCAGCGAAGCCCUGCAAAUAAAAUCGAAGGAGAAGGCAGAUGAAAUGUGUUCUGUGUAAUGCAGGCUUGGUUUCAUACAAGCCCAUUUUGUAAGCAAGAUUUCAUGUUUCCUCUGAGUCAAAAAAUUAGAGCUUGAUGGAGCUAGUCUGGAUGAGACUUGCGACUUUCUUCAUGAUUUUAUUGCACCAAAAAUGGUCAUAAAACCACAAGAACACCUUUUUCAGUAGAUCUGCCUCCCUGUAGGAGACCCAUUACAACACAUGUAGUAACAGAGCCACGCAUCAGCUCUGCCCUGGGACCUGAGAAGAUGCCUGUGCUGGGACAAAAAGGACCCACAGAGCUGAGGUCUGCCAUGGAAUAGGAACACAGAGGUCCUCAGCACUCUCUGCUUCACCUGAAAAAUAUUCUGGGAGCAGCCAUGCAGAAUGAGGAGCACUGAGCACCUGCAGGCCCCCCCUAAGGACCGGUCUCUGCAGACAGACCAAGGGAGGAGCAUCUCUCCUGCACUCAGCAGGCACAGUGACUCUGGUCCUGCCUGGAAGUGUGCUCUGACACACAGCAGAAGCAAGGUUUGCAUGUUUUUUCCUUUGUUCCCUGGGUUUUGUGCCUCAUGCCAGGAGCUGAGAGUGGAUGGAAAGUGGGGUGCUGUGCUUCGGCUGGUCCCACUUGGGCAGCUUCUGGUGGCUUGUGGGAAUUAUCACGUACUGCUUUGGGCGGUAGCACUGCGUAAAUGUCAAAUAGUCAUAUUUUUUUUAAUAAACAUCCCUCAGAGACAGGACUGAACGUGGCUUCAGAGCUGUUCCCUGAGGGAUUUGGUCACUGUCUUACAGGCAGGAAAAGAACUGCUGGGCUGGGACUUCGUCAUGACCAGGCAGCACCCCUGGGACUCUCGCAAGCUGCUCUGAUCUAAUCCUCAUGAAGCCUGACCCUUUCUUUCAAAUGAAGCCUAAUCCAUCACCCGAUUGUGCAAAACAUUAUCCACUGACAAAUGCGGUGAUAUCAGUGGUAAUGGAAGGCUGACGGAUGGCCAGAGCUGGGACUGCAGCUGCAGCUCUAAGUGAGCUUCAGCAUCUGUGAGCAGGAACUGGGGGAACAACAGUUUUUCUGGAGCUGCCCCGUACAGCCCAGCAUUUUGGCCAGUCUGUGCUAUGCCCUGCCCUCCCUGGUCUGGGAAGGUCUGCAGCCAGGUGGGGCUGCCUUCUGCUGCUGAGCUCCAAGCUCUGUUGCUUUCAUCCAAUCCAGCCCAAAGGAAUAAGCUUUCCUAUUAGCUUUUAUUGUUAUUGUUAUUAUCUAAAUCAUGCAAGAAAAAGCAUUCACUGACCUGCUCUGUAAUAAAAUAUAAGUGGUUCUGAGGACCAUGAAGAUGGACAACUUUUUAAAAAUGCUAGGCAGAAGUGCUGCACGCUCUGUUGAGUUUUUCAUUAGGAUUUUUCUCUCCCCCUGCCUAUUUUUCACACCCACUGGAUUAUGCAUUUACAUGCAUUAUAAUGAGAAUGACUGCAAUCAUGAUAGAUAGGAUUUUUUUUUAAAUCUUUACGUAAAAUGUUAUAGAACAUAAGCAAACUGUCGAAGUUUGAAGGCAUCAGCCCCGUUUUGGUCAUAGGCUUUCAUAUUUCUCGUGGUGGGGAUGCAAAGCGAGUCUGGGCUGCAAUCUAAAUUCUGCAGGGAAUUGUGGUUGACAGAAAUAAACCAUGUGUUGAGGGUGCCACGUGAGCUGAACAUAAACAUGAAUUAAACCCUGCAACUGUGAAGGAACCAGGGCUGUUGGAAAACUGGUGCUAAAAAUAUAAAUUUAAAGCCUAAAAGAAUGGAUUGGAAGCCAGUUUAAUUGCCUCAAUAAAGGGGUAACAUGAAAAUUAUGGAUGUCAGAGCAGAUUAAAAGUACCUCAGAAAUCAGAAUACGAUGUUGAUGCAUGAUGGAUGAGUGGCAGAAACCUGAAAGAGGCUAUUGCAUCGAUGCAGUUGUAUAGAAAAUGUGGUUUAGUGGUUAAAAAGGGUGCGUGGAAGGCAAGGGCUCUUGUUGGGGCACAGCAGCUCUUUGCAUCACAGUGUGACCUUGUGCUGAAGCUUCUUUGUUGGGUUUGUUGAGUGGGAGCACCUUGCUCGGUCCCUGGCUGCUGUGCAGCCUUGUUGGUGGGGCUGGAAAUCAACCUGCUCUUUGAAAUGCAAAAAACUCCCAACCAUUUCUGGCCUGCAGUUCAUCUCGCCGCUCUUAGACCUAAGCAUGGCUGCAAGAGGAGAAACUGCUAAGAAAUGGCUGUGUGGGUUUCCCAGAAUGCACACAAAUAAGUAUAGGAGGGCACGUGGUGGAGGUGUCAGUGUUAACGCGUGGGGUUAUGCCGGUGUUGUGAGAAGGCAGCAGAUAGGCUGAAUUUAGCUGUGUGUAGAUGAGAGCUUGCUCACAGUGCUUGCUCACAAGGAUCCUACUCUGCUCGCACUGUGAAUGAAUGACAAAAUAGCUCGUGUGAGCACGGCAUGUCGAAAUCAUUACAGAAACUUCCUCAGUGUUGCACAAGAGGUGCCAUGACUGCGGCUUCUGCAGUCCAUCUGCGGGUGAGGGAUGGCUGUCAGCACUGCCGGGAGCGGCUGCGGCGGGUGGCACGUCGUCGAUAGGAGGUGACAAGGGCUUGCAGAAGAGAUGGAGUGUCACCGCGCUGGCAGGCAGAGCCAGACAAACGAGACAAAGUGCGGCUGCCAAAUCCUUAGCAGUUUUUCUAAUAAGGUUGUGGCCAGCAGCAGGAGCACCGGGAAGGACUUGUGCCCCUCCAAAAAAAGUUUCCGUGCUAUCGCCCAUUUCCAGAAACGGAUCGCUUUGGUUCAGCGCUGAUUUUUCAGGAAAAAAAGAAAACCAAGUCCCCCUGGAACAAAAGAGCACAUCUCCAAAACCAGGUGAGUCUGGAUGUGCACGGGUGGCUUAGAAACAAAUGGUGAUGUGCUGGGGAGGAGCCUACCACAUGGUACAGAGCAAACCACACAAGGCUGCGGAGCAUCGGCAGCAGGAGAUGCUGGCUGGUGUUUGCCAUGAAUUCACCAUGCCACUUCACCUGCACUAUUUAAGCUGUGAAUGCCUCACGCUCUCUUGGUAGAAGAAUAUACGUAUGCUGCUUUGCCCUCAGUUCGGAGGAGCUGCAGGGCUUAAUCAGUGUUACGGAAGCAAUUGUGUAGUGGCAAGAUCAAAACCUGAUGCAAUGGGAGAGUAGAAGUUUGUUCUGAUGGGGUUUGCUGUACAACUUCUCCUGGUACUUCCAAACCAAAGGCUCCCAGAGGACGCUGCAUUGCAGACUGCUUGUUUUCAUAGCCUAAAUACAGCAGCUCCUGCAGGCUGCAGCAGGUCGGUGAGUUAUACAGGCUUGGAUGCAGAUUAACUUCAGAAAGGGCAUGAGUAGCCCAAGAGCAAGGUAGUGUCUGCAG